UAAAAAAUUUUGGCGGUAUUUUAAGCUUAUUAGAGGAAUUUGCUCUGUGAUGGACACAACGCCUUAAUCUUACUUAAUUUAGUAAUUUAAAUCAGUUUGUAUACCACUAUAUUAAUUAUAUUGAAUAGUUAUAUUUAAAAUUUUCUUAAAAAAAUAUAUUAAGUCAAGGUGCAUCUAAUAAUUAUGAAUGAAGUGAAUUACAUUAAUUUUAAUGUAAUUUUUUGCAUGAAAAAAUUAAUUAGGAUUUAAUAGUAAAAUACUAAUAUUAUGAGUAUUUGAAUCAAGCUCUAAAAUAUGCACAUAUCGCCCGUCGCUCUCAGAAGUGAGAUAAGUCGUAACAAAGUAAAAAUACUGGAAAGUGUUUUUUAAAAUGAAAUCAUUCGAUGUUUCAUUUACAAUGAAAAUUUUGUUGUUUAACCAUUUUAA
rnacentral:rRNA from 1 species